UGCUGCGGCUCCUGAAAUCCUCCGGUGUGAACUUCUCCCAGGGCUGUUGAUGCUUCAUCUACUCUUCUGGCAGUGGGGGCCUGGACCUUAGUUACCCGGGAAGCUCACACCAGAAGAGGGCAUUGGAUCCCACUAUAGACUGUUGUGAGCCACCUUGUGGUUGCUGGGAAUUGAACUCAGGACCUCUGGAAGAGCAGUUGGUGCUCUUAACUGCUGAGUCAUCUCUCCAGCCCCAGGUGUUCUGCCCAGUUUAUAGAACAAGGAAUUGAAGCUUGGAGAAGAUUGAUGGACCACUCAAGUUCCCUGGAUGGUCCAGGAUGCAGACUGAGGAUGGCCUAAAACAUUAGUUUUGCUGGCUCCCUGUGCUUGGCUAACUUUAGAGCCUCUUACCUUGCCACAGUCUUUUCUAUGAAGGACAGAGAGCCAAGGAGUGGACCAACAUGCCUGAGUUUACACAGUGGACCUGAGGACCGUCACCUCCCAGUGCAAUGUUCCUGUGUACU
ensembl:antisense 4933431E20Rik RIKEN cDNA 4933431E20 gene